UGCCGAUUGGAUAUCGCUAGAGCGUGCUUGGCUCUGCCCUCCUCCUUGCUUGUUCUAGUAUGCCCACUAUGACUCAUUUGUUCCCGUUGGAAUCGACAAGCUGUGGUCUAUCUUGGUUUAGUUAUACAAAUAUUUGGUUUUGUGCUAAUUUUUACAAUAAACCGACAGCAAGCAUCAGAGUCAACGCAGCAAAAACACAUGCGAUUUAUUCAGUCUCAGAUUAUUGAAAUCAAGCCAUCCAGCAUGACAACUAUACGAUUGAGGAUUACGAAAAAGGAUGCCUGAUGAAGACCUAAGGGUCAAAACGUUGUUAUAAAUAAAUAUCACCUGGGAGCAUGAGAAGCAGUGUGCAGCGUUUUCCUUUCUGUUUUCCAGGUUUUGCGUAUUGUCAUAGAUUAGGAAAAUAAGGUUUGCAGUCCCAAUGAGCUGCUGGUUGGCUUGCUUGAGCAGGUGGAGAAGACCCUGACUCCGUCGCCGAGACAAGUCUUCCUCCUGCUGCAGCCCACUACAGAAAGCUGGGCAGCCCGGAAGGCCUCCUCGGUGGGCGUGGCUCUCGCCACCCUGCUGGGCCAGGUGGCCAGGCUGCCUGUGCCCCAGACCAAGGAACAGGAGGAAGACGACAUGUUCGGCCCGUGCAGCUGCUGGUCGGCCCUCCUGGUCUUCUUCAGACCCUUUACGGGAGGCCGGGCCGAGCCGGCAGGCCGGUAUUACCAACAGGACGCCCACGGUCAAAGAGGAUGAGCUGAGGACAGAGACGCGUUCUAUCUCCUAGAGAUUAAUGUACUUUGGUGUGAAAACUACAACUCAAUCGCAGAACAACAGCGAAGGACCUUG